UGGUAGAUGCACCCUAAUAAUUCACUCCCUCGGACGGUAACAACCAACUGAGGGAAUUUUUU
rnacentral:sRNA from 1 species